AAUAAAGUCUAUUAAAAUUCAAAUAAAUUUUGAUUACCAGCAAAACAACAUAUAAUAUAAUCCAUAUAAAGCAAACAAUUUGCUGUUUUAAUAAAAUGUUUAUUACCUCUGGCUUUAUGUGAAACUUUAUUUUAUAUACUUUUCUUUAGUGAUAUGAGCAAGCGUUGUGUUUUUAUUAAAAUAUUUAUUUUAAUAACUAUUACAAUAUGUGAAGCGAAAAAAUACAGGAAAGAAAUCAUCAAAUACCCAGAUAAUACAUUAUUUUGGGUAACGGAUUUCUUUGUGAAGGGUUGUAGAAAUUUCAUAGAAAACUGCCCUGCUUCGUAUAGAAUUCAAGAAAUAUGUGCACGAAGCUAUAACGGGCAUUACAAGAAUUUUCCAAACUAUUGCGAGAUGCAAUAUGAAAAUUGUAAUACUUGGAGGAAUUGGCAAGUCUUCAAGAGAAAUCGUUGCUAAUUCAAAAUGUUUUUAAGAAAAAUGUAAAGAAAUUUUUCAAUUAAAAACGGUUAAGUUUAGUAAAUAACUACUUAUAUAAAUGGUAUUUUU
rnacentral:misc_RNA from 1 species